UUUGAGGCACUUGAUGAGUUUGUAGUCACAUGAAACCCAUGGACUCAGGAGCAUGUACAUAUGGUCUUUGAUAUAUGACUCAUCAUAGAUGGCAUGUUGACUGAUAGUGCAUUCUGGCUGACUCGCUGCUACUUAUUGUUCUUGUGGUGUGUUGAGCCUUACAACCCAGAGCGUGUCAUGAGACAGUUCGGUCUGUAUUAGGAGAUUCCACCACCUUUUCCAAGAUGUACCGACGAGGAAACCCAUAAGUAAGAUGUGACCUCCCUAAAUAGUUAGUGUCCUUUUUAACUUACUCAACUCACACUUUGUUACAUAAUUUGCAGGCUGGCCAAUAUGGGCCACAGUUGGAGUCUUCACGAUUGGAGGGAACACAACAUUCAAUGGGUACACAUGUGGGAAAAUGAAGCGCUAGCAGAUAUAGUGUAUCAACUUCGGUACAUUUUAUUUACAUUAUUUUAUUACGAUGACCAUACGAUGCGUGAAGAUGAUUUGCUUUCAUCACAACGGUUGAUAUUAUUAUAUAAUUUUGCAGACCAUACGAUGUGUGAAGCCUCGUGUGAACUGAUACACGUUUGGGAGGCAUGAUCAAAAACUCUUCCUUUUCACGUUAAUUGACCAUUUUGGUGGGCUAUAGCCCACGAUUUUAGGGUUUUGGAACAAUUUGUUAGCCCCAUGAGACCCGGUACAUGUUGUUGAGGCAUGACCAAAAACUCGUCCUUUUCGCGUUAAAUGACCAUUUUGAUGGGCUAUAGCCCAUGGUUUUGGGGUUCUGCUACGAUUUGUAAACCCCACGAUACCCGGUAAAAGUUUUCACCAAUUCAAUACGUAUUGGUGAAUUAAAAUGAUGUUCAUGAAUUUGUUAAUUGUUCAUGAUUUUCUAAAAAUAUUCAUGAAUAAGAUAAAUGUUCAAGAAUUCAGAAAAAAAGGUCAUGAAUUUUAAAAAUGAACAUUGGGACGAAAAAAUGGUCAAACCUAGUUGCGAGUUGAUGGUGGACUUGAAAUUGGG
rnacentral:lncRNA from 1 species